rnacentral:rRNA from 1 species
AGUGAACGCUGGCGGUAGGCCUAACACAUGCAAGUCGAACGGCAGCACAGUAAGAGCUUGCUCUUACGGGUGGCGAGUGGCGGACGGGUGAGGAAUACAUCGGAAUCUACUUUUUCGUGGGGGAUAACGUAGGGAAACUUACGCUAAUACCGCAUACGACCUACGGGUGAAAGCAGGGGAUCUUCGGACCUUGCGCGAUUGAAUGAGCCGAUGUCGGAUUAGCUAGUUGGCGGGGUAAAGGCCCACCAAGGCGACGAUCCGUAGCUGGUCUGAGAGGAUGGUCAGCCACACUGGAACUGAGACACGGUCCAGACUCCUACGGGAGGCAGCAGUGGGGAAUAUUGGAGAAGGGGUGCAAGCCUGAUCCAGCCAGACCGCGUGGGUGAAGAGGGCCUUCGGGUUGUAGAGCCCUUUUGUUGGGAAAGAAAAGCAGCAGGUUAAUACCCCGCUGUUAUGACGGUAACCAAAGAAUAAGCACCGGCUAACUUCGUG